AGUGAACGCUGGCGGUAGGCCUAACACAUGCAAGUCGAACGGCAGCACAGUAAGAGCUUGCUCUUACGGUUGGCGAGUGGCGGACGGGUGAGGAAUACAUCGGAAUCUACUUUUUCGUGGGGGAUAACGUAGGGAAACUUACGCUAAUACCGCAUACGACCUACGGGUUAAAGCAGGGGAUCUUCGGACCUUGCGCGAUUGAAUGAGCCGAUGUCGGAUUAGCUAGUUGGCUGGGUAAAGGCCCACCAAGGCGACGAUCCGUAGCUGGUCUGAGAGGAUGAUCAGCCACACUGGAACUGAGACACGGUCCAGACUCCUACGGGAGGCAGCAGUGGGGAAUAUUGGACAAUGGGCGAAAGCCUGAUCCAGCCAUACCGCGUGGGUGAAGAAGGCCUUCGGGUUGUAAAGCCCUUUUGUUGGGAAAGAAAAGCAGCAGGUUAAUACCCCGCUGUUCUGACGGUACCCAAAGAAUAAGCACCGGCUAACUUCGUG
rnacentral:rRNA from 1 species